rnacentral:rRNA from 1 species
AGGACUAACGCUGGCGGCGUGCCUAACACAUGCAAGUCGAACGAGGUAGCAAUACCUAGUGGCAGACGGGUGAGUAACACGUAGUCAACCUUCCCGAUAGUGGGGGAUAACUAGCCGAAAGGUUAGCUAAUACCGCAUACGAUCUUCGAGUGGCAUCAUUUGAAGAUGAAAGGAGCAAUCCGCUUUCGGACGGGACUGCGUCCCAUUAGCUAGAUGGUGGGGUAAUGGCCUACCAUGGCAACGAUGGGUAGCUGGUUUGAGAGAGCGACCAGCCACACUGGGACUGAGAAACGGCCCAGACUCCUACGGAGGCAGCAGUGAGGAAUUUUCCGCAAUGGGCGAAAGCCUGACGGAGCGACGCCGCGUGUGGGAAGAAGGCCUUCGGGUCGUAAACCACUGUCGAAGGGAAAUACUGAUGGUACCCUUGGAGGAAGCCCCGGCUAACUACGUGCCAGCAGCCGC